UACGUAGGGUGCAAGCGUUAAUCGGAAUUACUGGGCGUAAAGCGUGCGCAGGCGGUUGUGUAAGACAGAUGUGAAAUCCCCGGGCUCAACCCUGGGAACUGCAUUUGUGACUGCACAGCUGGAGUGCGGCAGAGGGGGGAUGGAAUUCCGCGUGUAGCAGUGAAAUGCGUAGAUAUGCGGAGGAACACCGAUGGCGAAGGCAAUCCCCUGGGCCUGCACUGACGCUCAUGCACGAAAGCGUGGGGAGCGAAACAAGGAUUGA
rnacentral:rRNA from 1 species